rnacentral:rRNA from 1 species
CCUACGGGAGGCAGCAGUGGGGAAUAUUGCACAAUGGGGGAAACCCUGAUGCAGCGACGCCGCGUGAGUGAAGAAGUAUUUCGGUAUGUAAAGCUCUAUCAGCAGGGAAGAAGAAAGACGGUACCUGACUAAGAAGCCCCUGCUAACUACGUGCCAGCAGCCGCGGUACUACGUAGGGGGCAAGCGUUAUCCGGAUUUACUGGGUGUAAAGGGAGCGUAGACGGCUGUGCAAGUCUGAAGUGAAAGCCCAGGGCUCAACCCUGGGAUUGCUUUGGAAACUGUGGAGCUAGAGUGCUGGAGAGGUAAGUGGAAUUCCUAGUGUAGCGGUGAAAUGCGUAGAUAUUAGGAGGAACACCAGUGGCGAAGGCGGCUUACUGGACAGUAACUGACGUUGAGGCUCGAAAGCGUGGGGAGCAAACAGGAUUAGAUACCCUUGUAGUC